rnacentral:rRNA from 1 species
UACGUAGGGUGCAAGCGUUGUCCGGAAUUAUUGGGCGUAAAGAGCUUGUAGGCGGUUUGUCGCGUCUGCUGUGAAAUUUCGGGGCUCAACCCCGAACUUGCAGUGGGUACGGGCAGACUAGAGUGUGGUAGGGGAGACUGGAAUUCCUGGUGUAGCGGUGAAAUGCGCAGAUAUCAGGAGGAACACCGGUGGCGAAGGCGGCUCUCUGGUCCACAACUGACGCUGAGGUGCGAAAGCUAGGGGAGCAAACGGG